rnacentral:snoRNA from 1 species
GUUGCUUCUUACUGGUGAACUCUCUUAAAUUAAAAUGAGGGAUGUUCAUGUUUCAGAAGCAUAGAUAAAAUAUAUGCCAGUAUUAAACAGCAUGAUGUGCUUAUAUCCUACUUGCAUCAUGUUACCUGUCUCCUGGUAUAUUU